rnacentral:sRNA from 3 species
UAUUCUGCCCCACGGGGAAGGAUGAGAAGCUUCGACCAAGGUUCGACUCGAGCGAAACGAGAGAACGUUGCCGCAGGCAACGGCCCGAAGGGCGAGGCGCUUUAGCGCCGAGUAAUCCUUCCCCCACCACCA